rnacentral:rRNA from 2 species
ACGGGAGGCAGCAGUGGGGAAUAUUGCACAAUGGGCGCAAGCCUGAUGCAGCGACGCCGCGUGAGCGAUGAAGUAUUUCGGUAUGUAAAGCUCUAUCAGCAGGGAAGAAAAUGACGGUACCUGACUAAGAAGCCCCGGCUAACUACGUGCCAGCAGCCGCGGUAAUACGUAGGGGGCAAGCGUUAUCCGGAUUUACUGGGUGUAAAGGGAGCGUAGACGGCGAUGCAAGUCUGAAGUGAAAGCCCGGGGCUCAACCCCGGGACUGCUUUGGAAACUGUGUUGCUAGAGUGCAGGAGAGGUAAGCGGAAUUCCUAGUGUAGCGGUGAAAUGCGUAGAUAUUAGGAGGAACACCGGUGGCGAAGGCGGCUUACUGGACUGUAACUGACGUUGAGGCUCGAAAGCGUGGGGAGCAAACAGGAUUAGAUACCCUGGUA